AGUUUUUCCUUUGGCCAGCUAUCUC
rnacentral:miRNA from 10 species